rfam:Felis catus isolate Cinnamon breed Abyssinian chromosome E1, whole genome shotgun sequence.
GCCUGGGUGGCUCAGUCGGUUGAGCGUCCGACUUCAGCUCAGGUCACGAUCUCGCGGUCCGUGAGUUCGAGCCCCGCGUCAGGCU